rnacentral:rRNA from 1 species
ACCCGCACAAGCAGCGGAGCGUGUGGUUUAAUUCGUUGCUACACGAAGAACCUUACCUGGGUUUGACAUAUAGGUUGUAGGGAACUGAAAAGGGACCGACCUUCGGGGAGCCUAUACAGGUGUUGCAUGGCUGUCGUCAGCUCGUGUCGUGAGAUGUUGGGUUAAGUCCCGCAACGAGCGCAACCCUUAUCCCCAGUUGCCAUCAGGUAAAGCUGGGAACUCUGGGGAGACUGCCGGUGAUAAACCGGAGGAAGGCGGGGAUGACGUCAAGUCCUCAUGGCCCUUACAUCCCGGGCUACACACGUGCUACAAUGGCAGGUACAGAGGGCUGCGAAGCCGCGAGGUGGAGCGAAUCCCAGAAAACCUGUCUCAGUCCGGAUUGAAGUCUGCAACUCGACUCCAUGAAGUUGGAAUCGCUAGUAAUCGCAGAUCAGCACGCUGCGGUGAAUACGUUCCCGGGCCUU